rnacentral:rRNA from 1 species
UACGAAGGGGACUAGCGUUGUUCGGAAUUACUGGGCGUAAAGGGCUCGUAGGCGGCCAACUAAGUCGGAUGUGAAAUCCCCAGGCUCAACCUGGGAACUGCAUCCGAUACUGGAUGGCUUGAAUUCGGGAGAGGGAUGCAGAAUUCCAGGUGUAGCGGUGAAAUGCGUAGAUAUCUGGAGGAAUACCGGUGGCGAAGGCGGCAUCCUGGACCGACAUUGACGCUGAUGAGCGAAAGCUAGGGGAGCAAACGGG